UUCAGAAUUUAGACGUGGCCAGUCAAAAGUAUAUUUAUGUUGCAGCUAGAACUAGAUCUCUAAAAUUUUGGGCAUCCCCCAAACCAAGACCCUCACAAUGAAGGCCAAACCAAGGCUUCCUUGUAAUGGCCAAUGCCAUUCCCUUGAGGCUGAUGGCAGUUUGGUAGGACCCCUAGCCACAAACCGGAGUGCGCCCUGCAUUUCUUCUCUGCUGUUUCUUACCACAAAAUGGAGUGCAACCGCAUUUUUGCCCAAUUGUAUUUUGGGACCUCCAACCUGAUGAUUAUUAAGCCAAGCCCUCAGGACACUAAACAAGCUUAAUAGGAUUGUGCAGUUCUUUGUAAACAUUUACAACUUCUGGAAACUUUAGGUUUUGAACAAUUAUACGGGAAGGUGGCGAGCUUGACCUUUAAAAAAUUUCUUUGUUACCUGGGUCUUAAAAAGGAGCCUCAAAGUGGCCACUGUAGUUUUAAAUUAUCCUGGGUUAUCUUGCCACUUGUUUACAGUUAUCCCCAUUUUAGGAGGCUUUUCCCAAGGUGGCCACAACAAACAAGGUAAUUUCUAAAGAGAGUUUGUUACGGUUACUGAGAAACUCAGUCCUCAAAACAGCCAAUUCAAUUUAGACAAACGUUAACACGCAACAAUUCUACAUAUAACACAGACCAGAAUACUAGCUGGUUUUCAGGAGUAGCUCAGAACCAGUGCCAGGAGCUACUCAAAACCAGAUUGCCAGGGCAGCACACAAUCUGUGCCAGCAGUUGCCCAGAUCCAGAAGCAACUUCAUGAGUGAAGCUUUCAUCCUGCCUCUAAUUACCUUGGGUGGUUCAGGCCCAAGCUUCGGGUCUCAGGCCACCAGGAUUCCCCAGAAUACAAGCCAAACUUGUAUUUCCAGGAAAUCAAACUAGAGAGACGAGGUAAGGGACAGACGCUUUCUUAAAGUUACUCACCGAGAGCCCAGAGACAUCUUGACCCAGAAGCUGCAUCUUCACCCCCUGCAAAAAAAACCUCCUUGGGGCUGGGAGCACUGCAGCAGAGGAAACAAGAAUCUGGUCAGUUGAGCCUCUAGACAAAAUUGUCUAGGCAGCUGCUUAGGAUUGAUGAAAAGACCCCACAGUCCACCAGGGGUUCCAAAGCCUUGGAUGGGCAGUCACAGGACCUUGUCCUAUCUGGUCACCAAUUGUUACCACACAAAAUUGGGGUUCUUUUACCCAAUGUGCACAAACAGCCAAUUAAUUAUAGCAUCAACUUUUAGGGGAGAAAUCAGCUUUAUUCUGCAAGACAGCUCUGAGGGCACACGCCCCCAUCUCCCUGCAGAUUGAUCUCACAGAAUAAAGGUGAUUUCUUCCCCAAAAGCUGAUCUCAUAAUUAAUUGGCUAUUUGUGCACACUGGGCAAGAGAGCCCAAUUUUGUGUGGUAACACCCUUAUAGUGCAGGUAUCAUUUCCAUUUACACAUGAGGAAACUGCCGCGGAGAGAUGCUAAGCAACUUUUGUAAAGUCACACAGCUAGUAAAUAGAGAAGUCCCUGGACUUGACACCACACUUUCCCCAGGCUCCAAAAGCCAUCAGGGGUUAGGUUAAUUGGAAUCUGAUGUCUUUGUCACUUCUCACUUUAAUUAUUCCUCACUGUUUAAAGUGGAAGACACUUCGAGUUACCUUAGUCUACUGUCUGUCAGAGUGAGAGGGAGGGGAAAGGAGACAAUUUGCAAGUGAUCAAAAGAUAGUCCUGAUAUUUAAGAUUCUCUUACCUUUCAUUUUUCGUUUUGGGGUCUUAGGCACCUCAAGUCCAGGUGUCAAAGGAUCAGAGCAUCUGCAGCCCAACUCUCCCACUGCUGAGGUCUCCCACCACAUUGGAAGCUGGGGUAGGGUACAAAACUGCCCUCAGAGUUUCAGAAGAGGCAGAGUGGAGAGGAGGGGCUGGGGACAAGAGCUGAGCUUUGACUAGACACCGGCUCCUCCCUUUCCCAUCCCUGCAGUGGCCGGUAGCUGCAGAGCUCGUGGUAGAGGUGUCCGGGGGUCACAUGACUGGGCCUCACCUUCUUCAAGAUCUCCGAUUUAGUCUUAUGGCAGCUUCUAGUGAGGUUGGGCAUAUAGUCGUAUUUAGCAAGUGCAUGUGCUGAAACAGUUGACUUGUUAAAUGUGAACAAAAUAUAUCACAUUUUUAGUAACUCUGCUUUAGGAAUUUUCCUCCUUCCACUGUCCCUCUACUUCCCCCUCCCUCCCUCCCUCCAUUUCCCUUUUUUCUCUCUCUCUUUCUCUCUGUCACAGAGGCCCUAGUAGCUGACUUUUCCUUUAAUUUCAUACCAAGUUUGAUAGAGAUUUCUUGGUAUAGCCUCUAUUGGCAGUACACUUGGCAUUUCAAACCAUUUUUAAAAAAAGUUGUAAGUGGGUGGAGGAUAAUAUUUGAGAAAAUAAUUGAAUUUUUUCUCCAGGCCUUUUUUUUUUUUUUAAAGUACAUAGUUGUGUGCUUUUAGUUGUGGGUCCUUCUAGUUGUGGCAUGUGGGACGCCGCCUCAGCAUGGCUUGACGAGUGGUGCCAUGUCCGUGCCCAGGAUCUGAACAGGCGAAACCCUGGGCCGCAGAAGUGGAGCGCUCGAACUUAACCACUCGGCCACAGGGCCAGCCCCUCUCCAGGCUUUCUUAUACACAUUAGCCUUCUCCCACCACUGGGGCACUGGGAUAUGAUCCUGAAUGCACUACCCUCAGGAGAGAGCUGACAAAUAGACAGUCUUUCUAUUUCAUUCUAAGAGCUAGGUUUUUAAGAGAGAGAAGGGUUUUAAAUUCUGAAAAAUUUGGCUUUGACAUCAAUAUCCAGUGGCUUCAGCAUCCAGGGGUGUGUCAGAGCUGGCCUGCACCAGCUCAGGAGAGCAGAUUGUGGACAUCUUUUCUCAACUCCAUGUUCAGUAGCUUGAAAUCAACCAUGGUGGAAGUGUGUACACCAUGAAAAUUGGCAAAUACUACAAACCAGGGUUUUUUUUCCCCCUAAAAAAUCAGUUGUUAAACAUUCACCAACAUAUCACUGCUUUAUUCCAUUAACAAUUGAUUGGACAGUGCAAAUGAUGAUGUAGAAACAGUUUCCCACCUCUAUCUAGAUAGAGAUCCCACAGAUUGUGGAAGGAGAGGGGAUUAAGAGAAAAAAGCACAGGUGAACCACCCAGUAAACCCUUCUAGGCUGAAGCCAAGGAGGUUGGUGUAGGGCACGCAGAAAAAUAUCCAGAUAGGGCUGGAGAUAGGAGGCCCAGCAGACUGUGUCCCACUUCCCAUCUGCAACUCUGUGAGCAGUUAGGAGCUACACAGACUGCUGUGAGUGAAAAUGGGCAGAAAUGGCAGCAGGUGUAGAAAUGGCCUGUGAGAGCUAGCCUCCCUGCUGCUCCCCCACCUGCCAUGCCUCCCUCAACUCCUUUGAGGCCAAGGAACCCAUAGAGAUUUCCUGUCCGACACCAGGAUGGGAGUGGAGAUCAGCUCAGAGACUGGGAGUACGUGGGCCAGUGGGUCACUGACCUUGCCUUGGCUGCUGUCAAGACCACUGAGGAUGGCACAGUUCAGAAACCAACAUGCUGGAAGCCAGCGAGCAUUGACCAGGAUUCCUCUCCGACAAGACCAAGGCCCCCGGUGACUUAGGUCACUUUCCAAGAGAAGUGUGAGGAAGAGAGUCAAGAAGUGAUUAUUGUCCCCAGGAACGACUGGGUUGGAAGAGAUGGAAGAUUGGCAAAAACCAUAGAAAAUGGCGACUGAAAAGUUGUGUGCUGAUCGAUGGAAAAAAGGAAAGGGCAACAAGUGGAGGAGAGUCAAGACUGCAAUGAGAAUAAAAGAAACGGGGAAAUAGAAACACACGACAACAAUGCCUAAGAGAGCGACAGAGGAAACAUUGAGAAGAAAACAGAUAAGGGAGAAAUACUGCACAGAGAAUGCUACACCAGAAAUUAGCAAGAUCCGUGGAGGCAGGAAGAAAAUAAAGAAGAAAGAUAGAGGUUAUAUGGUCCCAUGUAACAGGAGCCCCCGAUUUCUAUGCUUCCUGGGAUUGUGUUAGAGGUAGGGAGCUAUUCCAUGGCUCCAUAAUUCCCCUCGAGAAACAAGGCAUUUCAAAGUUUCCCAAACCUAGUGUGUACUGGACUGUGAGAGCUAGUUGUUAAAUUUUCAGGAAUUCCGUGAGCUAGCUGUUAAACUGGUUAUUUUAAAAAAAAUAAUAACACUAUAUAAGCUUAAAAUUAAAUAAAUUAUAUUAAAAACACAUAAUAGAUACUAAAAACUCAUCAGGUUCUAAUUAUUUUGGAAUAUUUUACUAUCGAUGUAUCUGCAUCUAUCGUGUGGAAAUAUUAUGCAACGGUGUGUUACUACAUAUCCUUUCGUAACACUGCCUUCAAGUGACUUCAUAUUGGAGGAUUGAAAUCAGCCACAGUGGGAGUAUCUACACCAUAGAGAUCAGCAAUUACUACAAAUUGAGGCUUAACAUAUUGUUUUAUUGAUUGUCUAGAUGUAACAACAUGGUGGAGAAAAUAAUACUGUAGAUUAAACUUAAAAGUGUAUUGUGUCCGUAGCUGUUACAUUGUG
ensembl:lncRNA